rnacentral:lncRNA from 1 species
AGGACACGGGGAUGUGUGUGCUCACUGGAUGCAUUUAUAAGAAGUGUUUUUGAGAAAAGAACCUUGUACUGCCCAAUGGAGUAAGAAUGUGAGUAUAUGGGAUGCUCUUCUCAAACUCGAUUGAAGUGUACUUUCUCAGACUGCUCACUGUUAAAGCAGCCCUUCUCCCAAACAGAGCAUUGUGCCUGAUGUGACUUCAAUCCCACCCACAAAGCAGUAUUGCCCGUGUUCUCAGGUGCGUGUUUCCCCCGUCGCUGCAACUGCUGGACUCAUGCCUUAACUGUGUAUUUCAGGCUCUCUUUAUCAGCUCUGUUUGACUACAGUUGUACGAGCUGUAUGCAAACUUAUCGGGAGGUAAUAAUGAGAUCUUUGAAAAUAGCUUGGAGAUGUUCAACACUGAGGCAAGAAGGUCCGGAGGGGAAGCUUUUCCUCACACCUUGAUGUGGAUGAGAUCUAUGCUUCAACUACACUCAAGACAGGGUGGAAACGUAGCUGGCCAGAGCCUCCACCACCUCAGCCCUUUCCCUCAAAUUACAAACUUGUCCUUGCUGCAGAUCUCUGUGCAGAGCUGGAGGCUGUCCGUCAGGUAG